GGCGACCAUAGCAAGAGUGAACCACCUGAUCCCUUCCCGAACUCAGAAGUGAAACCUCUUAGCGCUGAUGGUAGUGUGGGGUCUCCCAUGUGAGAGUAAGUCAUCGCCAGCU
rnacentral:rRNA from 1 species